rnacentral:rRNA from 1 species
CCUACGGGAGACAGCAGUGAGGAAUAUUGGUCAAUGGACGCAAGUCUGAACCAGCCAUGCCGCGUGCAGGAUGACGGCCCUAUGAGUUGUAAACUGCUUUUGUACGAGGGUAAACGCAGAUACGCGUAUCUGUCUGAAAGUAUCGUACGAAUAAGGAUCGGCUAACUCCGUGCCAGCAGCCGCGGUAAUACGGAGGAUUCAAGCGUUAUCCGGAUUUAUUGGGUUUAAAGGGUGCGUAGGCGGUCGGAUAAGUUAGAGGUGAAAUCCCGAGGCUCAACUGCGGAAUUGCAUCUGAUACUGGUCGGCUAGAGAGUAGUUGCGGUAGGCGGAAUUUAUGGUGUAGCGGUGAAAUGCUUAGAGAUCAUACAGAACACCGAUUGCGAAGGCAGCUUACCAAGCUGCUUCUGACGUUGAGGCACGAAAGCGUGGGUAGCAAACAGGAUUAGAUACCCCAGUAGUC